UCUUGAUCAGGAUCAAUAGCCGAGUCGAUCUGGCCAUGUCCGUCUGUCCGUCCGUCUGUCUGUCCGUAUGAACGUCGAGAUCUCAGGAACUACAAAUGCUAGAAAGUUGAGAUUAGGAAUACGGACUCCACGGACUCCAUUUGUCGAAUCAUGCUGCCACGCCCACUCUAACGCCCACAAACCGCCCAAAACUGCCACGCCCACACUUUUGAAAAAUGUUUUAAUAUUUUUUCAUUUUAUAGGUUUAACUUAAUUUAUUUAUUGACUAUUAUUUAAUUUAAGACUAUUAUUUAUUAUAAGGCUAAAUAAACAAAAGUUGUUAUUAAUUUUCAGGCUGCAGCUCAGUUGGGCCCGGCUCAGAUUACGCCUACAAUCCUGCAUAUACACAAUAUGGCGGAGCUUACGGAUCCUAUGGUUAUGGCACUGGCAGUGGCUUGAUAAUUAAUUAAUUUUAUUUAUUGCUUCUUAGAGAAGUGGUCGUGCUGAUGAUGGAUUCGUCCUACUACUACGAGAGCGGUCAAACUCAGUUACCAUUAACACAAGAUCUGCGUUCACCUUUAGCUGCAACGCGCGCUAACUCUCUAGCAUCAGCUGCAUCACCUGGAAGCGGAAGUGCGUGCACAAAAUCCGAAUCGUCGGACAUUUUUCUUGCUUAAUUAAGCUUAAUAUAUAUAUAUGGUAAUUAAGUUUAAAGUACUCACAUCACAGAUACUUCAUUUAAUUUACAUAAAUAAAACAUAACAUUUACAUAAAUAAUUGAUCUUUGAAAUGUUUAGUUAUUGUUAAAUUAUUUCUCAGUGUUUCUUUUUACUGUAAAUACUCAGCACCAGUAUGAUUUACAAUGAAUCAAAUUAUACAAAAACUUAAUAACAACAUAGUUUGAAAAUGCUAGAUUAAAUGAGAAGAAUCUCUAAUUUUUCUCUAAAAAUGCAUUUAUAGGAAUUUUAAUUAGAAUAAUUUUUAAACUUUAUAACCCUUAUUUUUCCUCUCUGCCCAAUAAGAACGGGACUUUUUAAGCAUAUACAAGCAUACAAACAUCACAAUAUUUAAAAAAAAAAUUCAAAAGGAAAACUAAAAGAUUAUUGUUUAUUUAUUAUAAAAACUUGCAUUUUUUGAUAAAUUUAGGUUACAAUUUAAGAAGGUAUAUUUAUAAGAGAAGAAUAUAAAAUAUUACAAAAAUAGUAAACAACUGACUACUCACUUACAUAUGAAACCAAAAUUAACCAAAAACGUUAGAACGAAAGUUUAAAAAACUUCCGAAAUAUCUUUAAAUAAAAUAUUGUUUAAGCAACAAAAUUAAAUUUAAUGUAAAAAUGUAAAUAUUUAAAUGACUAUUAUAAAAUAAAAGCGUAAAUAUAAAAGUCUUUGCACAAUUAUACCUCGGUGCGCAUCUUAUUCAAAAAACUAUAAUGUUAUUAACUAUAAUAUAACAUUUAUUUCACGUUAACUAAUCUACAAUCUGCAAUAAUAUUUUUUACAUUAUUUGUACCAUUAUUAUUAAAAAAUUUUGGUUUACUGAACGAUCAAGGAAAGAUGCUUUGAUUGGUGAACUAAAAAAAUGAGUUACUUUGGCAAAAAGAAAUUUUGUGCAAACCUAAUAACACACUUCUUUAUUAAAAGCAUUUCUACAGUUUUAAAAUAACAAUUAACGUUGAAAACGUUUAUAUAUAUUUUACUUGAAAUUUUAUUUUUGUUUAGAAAAAAAACGGCUACCACGCACAAGGUUCUCUUGGCCUUUGUAAUAUACACGUCUAAAAUUAAAAACUUGGAACAUUAGUUCAUGAAAGAAUGGCCCAUUAAUUUAAAAUUAUAUUAAUGCUUUCAAAUUAGUGUUUAUAUUCUGUAUUAAAAUACUCUAGUAGACUUUGAACACAAUUUUUAAUUUAAGUUCUAUUCGUUGUUUAAUAGAUUUAGACUUAAGCUAGUUUUAACAACAAGUUAUAAUAGGAAAGCACAAACCAAAUUUAAAUGUAUUUAGACAUAAACAUUUAUGUAUCUUAAUAAAUUGACAAGUUAAGCAAAUAAUAUAAA